UACGUAGGGGGCUAGCGUUGUCCGGAAUCACUGGGCGUAAAGCGCACGUAGGCGGAUUGUUAAGUCGGGGGUGAAAUCCUGAGGCUCAACCUCAGAACUGCCUUCGAUACUGGCAAUCUCGAGUCCGGAAGAGGUUGGUGGAACAGCUAGUGUAGAGGUGAAAUUCGUAGAUAUUAGCUAGAACACCAGUGGCGAAGGCGGCCAACUGGUCCGGUACUGACGCUGAGGUGCGAAAGCG
rnacentral:rRNA from 1 species